rnacentral:misc_RNA from 1 species
GCCACUUCUUGGAUGGCUACUUCAUUGUAUAUAGUGCCAGAGCUCAUGAAGACAUCCAAGGACGGAGAGAUGUUUCUGAGCUUCACCAGUCUCUUGGAGGAAAAUAGCUUGUAAAAUUGACUUUUAAGUUCAACAUUCAUGAGUUGUAAAUAGUGUUAAGGUGGUUCUAUCUUCGUGUAUGGGAACUGUAGGAUCUUUAUUUUACUAGCACCAUAUUCUCAUACAGCUUUAUAGAAAGCAUGACGUUGUUGCACCGUAGCAAACACACCCAUAGUUUGAUAAUAUGCUUUCACCACCUCUAUCCUCUACCCCCCUCUUGUUACAAAAUCGAUCUUCUAUGACUCUUAGCUAGAGAUCCUCAAGUCAUGGUAAGAUCAAUAAAUACAUGUGAUCUUUUAGUUUAAAUGUAUAGUUGAAAUAGGUAGAAAGGAUUUCAU